CUACGUGCCAGCAGCCGCGGUAAUACGGAAGGUUCUGGUGUUAUCCGGAUUUAUUGGGUUUAAAGGGAGCGUAGGCCGGAGAUUAAGUGUGUUGUGAAAUGUAGACGCUCAACGUCUGACUUGCAGCGCAUACUGGUUUCCUUGAGUACGCACAACGUUGGCGGAAUUCGUCGUGUAGCGGUGAAAUGCUUAGAUAUGACGAAGAACUCCGAUUGCGAAGGCAGCUGACGGGAGCGCAACUGACGCUUAAGCUCGAAGGUGCGGGUAUCGAACAGGAUUAGAUACCCUGGUAGUCCGCACAGUAAACGAUGGAUGCCCGCUGUUGGUACCUGGUAUCAGCGGCUAAGCGAAAGCAUUAAGCAUCCCACCUGGGGAGUACGCCGGCAACGGUGAAACUCAAAGGAAUUGACGGGGGCCCGCACAAGCGGAGGAACAUGUGGUUUAAUUCGAUGAUACGCGAGGAACCUUACCCGGGCUUGAA
rnacentral:rRNA from 1 species